rnacentral:rRNA from 1 species
GACGAACGCUGGCGGCGUGCUUAACACAUGCAGGUCGAACGGAAAGGCCCUGCUUUUGUGGGGUGCUCGAGUGGCGAACGGGUGAGUAACACGUGAGUAACCUGCCCUUGACUUUGGGAUAACUUCAGGAAACUGGGGCUAAUACCGGAUAGGAGCUCCUGCUGCUUGGUGGGGGUUGGAAAGUUUCGGCGGUUGGGGAUGGACUCGCGGCUUAUCGGCUUGUUGGGGGGGUAGUGGCUUACCAUGGCUUUGACGGGUAGCCGGGCUGAGAGGGUGACCGGCCACACUGGGCCUGGGAUACGGCCCAGACUCCUACGGGAGGCAGCAGUGGGGAAUAUUGCACAAUGGGCGGAAGCCUGAUGCGGCAACGCCGCGUGCGGGAAGACGGCCUUCGGGUUGUAAACCGCUUUCGCCUGUGACGAAGCGUGAGUGACGGUAAUGGGUAAAGAAGCACCGGCUAACUACGUG